CACGUAGGGUGCGAGCGUUGUCCGGAAUUAUUGGGCGUAAAGAGCUCGUAGGCGGUGUGUCGCGUCGGCCGUGAAAACCUGCAGCUUAACUGUGGGCUUGCGGUCGAUACGGGCAUCACUGGAGUUCGGCAGGGGCGAGCGGAACAAGUGGUGGAGCGGUGAAAUGCGUAGAUAUCACUUGGAACGCCAAUGGUGAAGACAGCUCGCUGGGGGUGUCCUGACGCUGAGGCGCGAAAGCCAGGGGAGCGAACGGG
rnacentral:rRNA from 1 species